GCGAGUCAGGGGGCUUGCCGCAGGCAAGCACCGGCGGACGGCUCAGUAACACGUGGACAACCUGCCCUCGGGAGGGGGAUAACCCCGGGAAACUGGGGCUAAACCCCCAUAGGAGAUGGAUACUGGAAGGUUCCAUCUCCGAAAGUCCGCAAGGAGCCCGAGGAUGGGUCUGCGGCGGAUUAGGUAGUUGGUGGGGUAACGGCCCACCAAGCCGAAGAUCCGUACGGGCCAUGGGAGUGGGAGCCCGGAGAUGGACCCUGAGACAAGGGUCCAGGCCCUACGGGGCGCAGCAGGCGCGAAACCUUCGCAAUGCGGGAAACCGCGACGAGGUCAGCCGGAGUGCCGAUGCUUGCAUCGGCUGUCGGGGAGUCUAAAAAGCUCCCCAUAGCAAGGGCCGGGCAAGGCCGGUGGCAGCCGCCGCGGUAAUACCGGCGGCCCGAGUGGCGGUCACUAUUAUUGGGCUUAAAGCGUCCGUAGCCGGGUUGGUAAGUCUCCCGGGAAAUCUGGCCGCUUAACGGUCAGAAUUCCGGGAGAUACUGCCAGCCUAGGGACCGGGAGAGGCCGAGGGUAUUCCCGGAGUAGGGGUGAAAUCCUAUAAUCCCGGGAGGACCACUUG
rnacentral:rRNA from 1 species